rnacentral:rRNA from 1 species
AGUGAACGCUGGCGGCAUGCCUAACACAUGCAAGUCGAACGGCAACACAGUAAGAGGGUGCUUUUACGGGCGGCGAGUGGCGUACCGGUGAGGAACCCAUCGUAGUGUAGUUUUUCGCGGGGGAAAACGUAUGGAAACAUACGCUAAUACCGCGAACGACCUACGGGUGAAACCCGCGGAGCUUCGGACCUCGCGCGAUCGAAUUAGCCAGUGUCGGAUUAGCUAGUUGGCGGGGCAAAGGCUCACCAAGGCGACGGUCCGUAGCUGGUCUGAGAGGAGGAUCAGCCACACUGGGACUGAGACACGGUCCAGACUCCUACGGGAGGCAGCAGUGGGGAAUAUUGGACAAUGGGCGCAAGCCUGAUCCAGCCAUGCCGCGUGGGUGAAGAAGGCCUUCGGGUUGUAAAGCCCUUGUGUCAGGGAAGAAAAGCUGCUGGUUAAUACCCCGCAGUUAUGACGGUACCUGAAGAAUAAGCACCGGCUAACUUCGUG